UACGUAGGGUGCAAGCGUUGUCCGGAAUUAUUGGGCGUAAAGAGCUCGUAGGCGGUCUGUCGCGUCUGGUGUGAAAAUCCAGGGCUUAACCCUGGACCUGCAUCGGGUACGGGCAGACUAGAGUGCGGUAGGGGAGAUCGGAAUCCUGGUGUAGCGGUGAAAUGCGCAGAUAUCAGGAGGAACACCGGGUGGCGAAGGCG
rnacentral:rRNA from 1 species